GGGUCAUGAAGCUUAUAAAAUUGGAGGAAACAAAUCAGGAUUGAAAUUCAACUUCUAGGAGAUUUCGUGUAAGAUACCCAUUGCCAAGGAAAAACGCAGUCAAUGGAGACUUGGCAGAGGAACGCCAAAACAAGAACUGAAGGACACAAGAGUACCCUGGAAUGUCGAUGUCGUUUACUUUGAAGCAACCGUCGUAGCGAAGACAAUGGCCAUUGCCACCGCAGUGAUCCCUUUGAAGCUCAUCACCAGUCGCAGGCUUCAACCUAAAAAUCAUACUCCAUUUCUUGCUCAAAAUCGGCCCUUCAAGGUCUCAUGCUGCGUUCUUCACAAUCCAAGCUCUCUCCAUACUCAUUGUCAGAAACUCGUCGAUAAAUUUGACCCUCGUAUUCCGAUAGAGAAAGCCCUGACUCCACCCAGAUCCUGGAUACACUGAACAGAUAAAGGAUCCUCGUGACUUUUUCACAGUAAGGUUCUUAGAAGAAGAAAG